AUGCAUGUGCUUCCUCUUCAGGGGAAGGAAAUACUGCAAAAAAAAAGAAGCAUCUCAGAUGUGGGAUCUUUAAGACGUGUGUUCUGCCUGUUGAGCAGGUGCUUGGGGUUUGCUGGACCGAUGAAGUGUGGUCAGUUUCUGCAAGGGUCUGGACUUGUUUCCCGCAGCCCUGGCAGUGGCCGUGUGGUGGCUGAGCAGACAGAACCAACGCCCGUGGGUGUUUGGCCAGCUGGCCCUGGCCUCCCACUAGGCCGUCAAAGACGCCUUCUGGAACUGGCGGCCACCUUGGCCCACUCGUUAUCCAGCAGGAUAAUAAAUGCAGACAGCAGAGCAAUGGAGCCUGGUGGGAUUUACCGGAGCAGCCUGGCUCCCUCUGCGACCCUCCCUCCAGAACAGCGGCCCUGUGACUCCGGGAGGGCGCAGCUCACCAGAGAACAACACGAUGCUGAGACCCGGGUACUGUUUGUCACCGCAGCACACAGACUGGUAAGUAAAUAUUAUGUUUGUAACUCGGAGCGAAGAGUGGUGAGGUCACGUAGCUUGCUCUUGCUGCACGAGUCAGUGUCAGGCUGGCACAGACGCUUUAAAUGUCCACUCUUUGGGAAACUGAGAUUUUGCUAGAACCUCAUGCUUUCCUCAUGCGGAGCGUCACAGCCAGUAGUUGACUUGUGCCAACAACAUCCUGUCCUCAGAACCUAGGUUCUUGCCUUUUUCACCCUGAAGGUGGGCAGCUCAGCCUGCUUUCUUUAACCCCGAGAGCUCAGGCGUCUGUUCGACAUGGAGCUUGUGAGUCUCUGGGUGUCGCGCAGAAUGUUCAUCUCAAGAGAUUCUGCCUGUCGAUGGUUAGAAUCAUUUGGAAAUUAAUCAUGUGAGCAUAAGUACACAGAUUCCAAAACUUUUGUUAUCACCUUGUGUUGGCUCUUAGAAAAGAGCCUGAGGAUCUUCAGCAAACCUCAGGUUCCUAGACAAGCAAACAAACACCGGAGCUCCGGUCGUGGCGCAGUGGUUAACGAAUCCGACUGGGAACCAUGAGGUUGCGGGUUCGAUCCCUGCCCUUGCUCAGUGGGUUAAGGAUCCGGCGUUGCCGUGAGCUGUGGUGUAGGUCGCAGACGCGGCUCGGAUCCCGCGUUGCUGUGGCUCUGGCCUAGGCUGGUGGCUGCAGCUCCGAUUCGACCCCUAACCUGGGAACCUCCAUGUGCCGAAGGAGCGGCCCAAGAAACAGCAAAAAGACAAAAAAAAAGAAGAGGAAGAAAGUGGAGCCUCGGACCUUUGAAGGAGAGGCUCCCUCCCACCGCACAGCAAGAAGGCACUGUCUGCGAGCCUGGAAAAGGGCCCUCAGCAGAGGGCGGCCCUGCCGGCACCCUGAACGUGGACUUCCAGGCUCCAGAGCUGGGAGGAGCGACCACAGUGGUUUCAGCCGCCCCGUCGGUGGUGUUCAGCUCCAGCAGCCCAGGCUCAGACGCCACAUCACGGCAUUAGGGUGAUUCCUCUUCUCCCGAGUGUCCGGUGUCUCGUUGAAGGAGAACCGCAACCUCGAACCUUUCACCUCUUUGCCCUUCGGUGGGUGCUCUUCAUGAGCAGCCACUUCAGCAAACACACACAGGCAGACCCCCGAGCAGCC
rnacentral:lncRNA from 1 species